GAUGAACGCUGGCGGCGUGCCUAAUACAUGCAAGUCGAGCGAACGGACGAGAAGCUUGCUUCUCUGAUGUUAGCGGCGGAAGGGUGAGUAAAACGUGGAUAACCUACCUAUAAGACUGGGAUAACUUCGGGAAACCGGAGCUAAUACCGGAUAAUAUUUUGAACCGCAUGGUUCAAAAGUGAAAGACGGUCUUGCUGUCACUUAUAGAUGGAUCCGCGCUGCAUUAGCUAGUUGGUAAGGUAACGGCUUACCAAGGCAACGAUGCAUAGCCGACCUGAGAGGGUGAUAGGCCAAACUGGACCUGAGACACGGUCCAGACUCCUACGGGAGGCAGCAGUAGGGAAUCUUACGCAAUGGGCGAAAGCCUGACGGAGCAACGCCGCGUGAGUGAUGAAGUUCUUCGGAUCGUAAAACUCUGUUAUUAGGGAAGAACAUAUGUGUAAGUAACUGUGCACAUCUUGACGGUACCUAAUCAGAAAGCCACGGCUAACUACGUG
rnacentral:rRNA from 1 species